AUUUCAACAAUUCUUCUUCUAAAUGGAAACCAGAAGUAGAAGGGGGGUGGGAGGGGUGGAAAUACAGGAGACAUCUCAGAACUUUGGAAAUCUGCUGCUGGAGUUUUGUUCUAGAAAAAUUUAGGGGUCAGAUUUUUUUCCCAAACCAGUUCUACAGAAGAGAGAACACCGAAGAGGAACUGCAAGUGCUACUGGCAUAAAGGGGUAAUUCAAGUUUUCAACAUAACUCAGUGAUUUCCAGAUCAGAUUUAGUUAUCAUAAUGAUCUUCACCAGACCGUAAUAUCUCACUCCUUCAAAUGACACUGCAAAAAGAUAAACUCUUUGGGAUUUGAGGAUUCAUUACCAGCUGAGAAAACUGACACUCUGAAGAUGGAUCUAUUUAAUCCAAAAUCCAUUAUCCCAAGGACUUUUCCUUUGCUUGUGUCUCUCUGCCAAUAAUCGAGUCUAUGUGUCAGAAUAGGUGCAAAGAUUUUGUUGGUGCUGUUUAGGUGGUUUCAGUUUACAGAGGAUGUUUCUAUGGAAAUAGUGCCCUGUAUGCUUGCCAGCAUGCUCAUUUGGCUCGUCUAAGAACAAUUCAUUCAGUUUAUAUGUACAAGAUUACAGCAGGGGGUAGUAGCAGAACUGAGAGAAGCACAGGCAAGGAGAAGCAGCAGCAGAAAUUACUUGGUACCCUAAGCAACACAAACAACAACAAGCGAUGAACUGGAGCCAAGCAGGAAUUGGAUUGUCCAGGAUACUCUCCCGGUGCAGUGCAUAGUGAUCGCGAGUGCUCAGGCAGCAGAAUGGUCCUCAUGCGACCAGGGGAAAAGGAAUAACAACCACUUCUGAAAACUGCAGGGAUGUGGAGAACUCUCUUUCCCAGGGUGAGGGCUUCUGCUUACCACACCCAGCAUCAAGUGGUUUGAAACCAACAACAAAGCCAUAAACAACAAAAGAAGAACAGUAAUAACACUAAUAAUGCUAAAAUAAGAAGAGUUUGGCACCUUCCACUUAGAAUCUAUACAACAUGAAGUGAUGCCAAGCAACCAGUCAUGUUGGCAGAAAUAAAUGAUGGCAAGAGCAGAGCAAAUUGUUUCACUGCAGAAUACCUUCUGCUUACAUUAGUCUCUGUUUUAUGCUGAUGGAUAACCAACAGCACAUCACAGAUUUCUCAAACACACUUUAAUGUUUAAGUAAUGAAGUACUUUUAUUAUUUUUUCUAUAUUAAUCAGUUUUACUUGAAAUUAAGAUCUGUUGCUAUUAGGCUGCUGGGAGGCAUUGCAUUUUUUUAUUAUCCUAAGUGUGCUGCAUAAAUAUAUCCACCUUUAUUAAAAUAUGUAAGGUAUAGUUGAUACAAAUAUUCACUUCUGUAAUUAUGGAAGCCUUUUUAGGUAAUUUGUGUGGCUAGAGAUACCCUUGUGUGAAUGUACAUUGCAAGAAGCACACAGAGAAAUGUGACUGAGGCUGAAGUGGAUUAAUUAAACACUUGGUGUCUUGACUACAGCAACAUACAUAGUUACUUAAGUUUAAUCAAGUUCUAAAAUUCUUUGUAGAAUUCAGAUGCAAUUACACUUAAAGUUAAUCUGAUGAUUCAGUAUUUUAUUGAAUCGAGGCCCAUUUGCAGGAGCAUUUGGGGGGGGACUUUUUGUUUUUUAGCCAACUCUACUUAUUAAAUUACAGUUUCUGCAUGGCUAUAUUUUAGUUUUCUUUAUUUUGAGUUCAUUUUACAAUGACAAGCCAUAAAAAAUUUCAUUUGUCUUUAGAAAAGUCCAAACCCAGCAGCUCUCAGGAGCUGUUGAUUUAUGGUGUCCUGCUUUCAUGAUCUUGCAAUGAGCAUUUGUUCUGAUGAUGUGAUGUUUGUGAUUUCAUAUCCUGCUGUGGAGCUUCAGUGUGAGAAGGCGUAUUUUGGAACUAAGAUGAACUGGAAUAUUGCCUCACCUACUCAUGCAAUUUCAGGUCCAAUGAAUUGAUUUAAUCUCUUGCUCUUAAUAAAAAACAGUUGUUAUUUUUCUUACUCUCCACUGGA